rnacentral:rRNA from 1 species
UGGGGAAUAUUGGACAAUGGGCGAAAGCCUGAUCCAGCCAUGCCGCGUGUGUGAAGAAGGUCUUCGGAUUGUAAAGCACUUUAAGUUGGGAGGAAGGGCAGUAAGCGAAUACCUUGCUGUUUUGACGUUACCGACAGAAUAAGCACCGGCUAACUCUGUGCCAGCAGCCGCGGUAAUACAGAGGGUGCAAGCGUUAAUCGGAAUUACUGGGCGUAAAGCGCGCGUAGGUGGUUCGUUAAGUUGAAUGUGAAAGCCCCGGGCUCAACCUGGGAACUGCAUCCAAAACUGGCGGGCUAGAGUAGGGCAGAGGGUGGUGGAAUUUCCUGUGUAGCGGUGAAAUGCGUAGAUAUAGGAAGGAACACCAGUGGCGAAGGCGACCACCUGGGAUCAUACUGACACUGAGGUGCGAAAGAGUGGGGAGCAAACAGG